rnacentral:rRNA from 1 species
GAAUAUUGGACAAUGGGGGGAACCCUGAUCCAGCCAUGCCGCGUGUGUGAAGAAGGCCUUUUGGUUGUAAAGCACUUUAAGCGCGGAGGAGGCUACUUAGAUUAAUACUCUAGGAUAGUGGCCGUUAUUCGCAGAAUAAGCACCGGCCACCUCUGUGCCACCUCCCGCGGUAAUACAGAGGGUGCAAGCGUUAAUCGGAUUUACUGGGCGUAAAGCGCGCGUAGGUGGCCAAUUAAGUCAAAUGUGAAAUCCCCGAGCUUAACUUGGGAAUUACAUUCGAUACUGGUUGGCUAGAGUAUGGGAGAGGAUGGUAGAAUUCCAGGUGUAGCGGUGAAAUGCGUAGAGAUCUGGAGGAAUACCGAUGGCGAAGGCAGCCAUCUGGCCUAAUACUGACACUGAGGUGCGAAAGCAUGGGGAGCAAACA